CCCUUAGAUGUUCUGGGCUGCACGCGCGCUACACUGAUGCGCUCAACGAGCUUAUGUCCUUGCCUGGAAAGGUUGGGUAAUCUUUUUAAAACGCAUCGUGAUGGGGAUAGAUUAUUGCAAUUAUUAAUCUUCAACGAGGAAUUCCUAGUAAGCGCGAGUCAUCAGCUCGUGCUGAUUACGUCCCUGCCCUUUGUACACACCGCCCGUCGCACCUACCGAUUGAAUGGUCCGGUGAAGCCUCCGGAUUGGCGCGCACCUCGGUGCCGCCGAGAAGUUGGCUAAACCUUACCAUUUAGAGGAAGGUGAANUCGUAACA
rnacentral:rRNA from 1 species